UACGUAGGGUGCGAGCGUUAAUCGGAAUUACUGGGCGUAAAGCGUGCGCAGGCGGUUUUGUAAGUCUGUCGUGAAAGCCCCGGGCUCAACCUGGGAAUUGCGAUGGAGACUGCAAGGCUUGAAUCUGGCAGAGGGGGGUAGAAUUCCACGUGUAGCAGGUGAAAUGCGUAGAGAUGAUGGAGGAACACCGAUGGCGAAGGCAGCCCCCUGGGUCAAGAUUGACGCUCAUGCACGAAAGCGUGGGGAGCAAACAGG
rnacentral:rRNA from 1 species